rnacentral:rRNA from 1 species
GAUGAACGCUGGCGGCGUGCCUAAUACAUGCAAGUCGAGCGAACAGACGAUGAGCUUGCUCCUCUGACGUUAGCGGCGGACGGGUGAGUAACACGUGGAUAACCUACCUAUAAGACUGGGAUAACUUCGGGAAACCGGAGCUAAUACCGGAUAAUAUAUUGAACCGCAUGGUUCAAUAGUGAAAGACGGUUUUGCUGUCACUUCUAGAUGGAUCCGCGCCGCAUUAGCUAGUUGGUAAGGUAACGGCUUACCAAGGCCACGAUGCGUAGCCGACCUGAGAGGGUGAUCGGCCACACUGGAACUGAGACACGGUCCAGACUCCUACGGGAGGCAGCAGUAGGGAAUCUUCCGCAAUGGGCGAAAGCCUGACGGAGCAACGCCGCGUGAGUGAUGAAGGUCUUCGGAUCGUAAAACUCUGUUAUUAGGGAAGAACAAAUGUGUAAGUAACUAUGCACGUCUUGACGGUACCUAAUCAGAAAGCCACGGCUAACUACGUG